GAUGAAAAUGGGAUGGAGUGCCUUAUUUUGAAUGGCUCUUUGAAUCGUUGAUACAGGAAUCAGAAAAGAUUGUGGACUUACGCCCAAAGGCCACACGAUGGCGAUCUUAGACAAGGAUAAUCAGAGAGCCCUCAGGCCGUGAUGCUCGGCGAUGGGACCGGACGGGAGCAAAUGCGGGGAAGAGGAGAAGAAAUACGGAGAAAUGGAGUAAAUUCAAGUUUGGGACGGAGGAAACCAAGCAGAGAUUAAACAGAUUUUGAAAUAAACUUGAGUCUGGGAAGAACGAAAGUCAGCAAGAGGGGGAGAGGGCUGACUGAAGUCCCAUAGCAGGAUGAACGGGGAGGAACGCUCCAAGGGCUGCACAGGAGCCUGUGGGGCAGCAGUGGGACCAAACGGAGCAAGCAAUGCUGAAAGCGUCGUUUUCAGUGACAGAUCUGCUAGGAAAUGCUCUGAUUUGGACCUGGGAAAGGAAAGGGUUGCCUUCCUCUGCCUGCCAUAUACAAGCUGUUUGGGGAAAAGGUACAGACUGCCUCGCAAGAAAUAACCUCACCGUCUCCCAGGGCCAACGCAGUACUGGGACGGAGAGGGGAGAGGCGACGUUCCGAAUUUCGGAACCCAAAUCGGCACAGGAGAGCAUUCCUGGGCAUGGCCGGGUGGUGCCGCUAGUGGACCGUAAAUGGAACAGGCUACGAGGCAGCGAAAAAGAAGGAGAUCUCCCUGGAGGGAUUCAGGAGCUUGGAGACGCCUUUACAAAAUUAAAGCAAACCCUGACGAGUGUUCCAGCACGAGGGCUGCCUUCCGCCGUGGAGGACUCAUUAACGACUCAGACUUCCAAAACUGGAAUUAAUUUUGCUAAUCUGAAUCCACCUGUGUUGGACACUCGAUCUUUGGCUCGGAGCACACCGGCUGCUGAAGAAUCACCCAUGUGGGUGCAACUUGCUGGCUGCUGCUCACUGUUUGCUUGCCGGUGCUGGGCCACAAACAUGCAGUCGGGAAGAAGUUUUAUCCGUCCUGCAAAGACAAGAAGUGAAAGUGCUGAAAGCUGCUCCUUUUUUGAUCAAAAGCCUGGCCUAAAAAGUGAAACUUCCAGCUCUUGCCAGCCUAAGCUCCUACUUGUUCUCUGAACAAAGCACCAGUGGCCAUGAGAAUGCCUCUGGAAACUCCAGAUUGAAGAAUCUCCAAAGAGCUCUGUUAUUUUUUAUUAACAGUGUAAGAGAACUGAGAGGUGAGUUUAUGGGUCUGACCUUAAAUAAAGCAGCCCGGCAACCCCAAUGAGAAGAUACUUUAUGUGCCAUCAACACAGAUUUUGGUGAGGUUCUGCCCUGUUUUUACACAGCCAUCUCUUUAUUAUACGUGUAUGAUUUUCUGCCUCAUACAGCUGAUCAGUGUUGUGAACUAGUUUUGGAUCUUCUUAAAUCAAAAUACUGACUUGGUUAACAUAAAAGAUUUCAAAAAGACAUGUAUGCUCCUCUCCCCCAGUUUUCCAGAAAGACCCACCCUUCUUUAAGAUUACAAAUAACAAAUACAUAAUAGCAUGAGGAAUGGUCUAAUUGCCUCUCCACCUCGCUCCCUUCCUCAUCUCUCCUCUCUGCAUCUCCCAUCUGCAUUUCUCCUGCUCUCCUUCCACGUUUCUCC
ensembl:lncRNA